UACAGAGACUGCAAGCGUUAUUCGGAUUCACUGGGCGUAAAGGGUGCGCAGGCGGCCAUGUGUGUGAGGCGUGAAAGCCCGGGGCUCAACCCCGGAAUUGCACCUCAAACUACAUGGCUAGAGCAUUGGAGAGGGUAGCGGAAUUCACGGUGUAGCAGUGAAAUGCGUAGAUAUCGUGGGGAACACCAGAGGCGAAGGCGGCUACCUGGACAAUUGCUGACGCUCAGGCACGAAAGCGUGGGGAGCAAAAGGG
rnacentral:rRNA from 1 species